UAAGGGCGCACGGUGGAUGCCUUGGCACUAGAAGCCGAUGAAGGACGUUACUAACGACGAUAUGCUUUGGGGAGCUGUAAGUAAGCUUUGAUCCAGAGAUUUCCGAAUGGGGAAACCCAGCAUGAGUUAUGUCAUGUUAUCGAUAUGUGAAUACAUAGCAUAUCAGAAGGCACACCCGGAGAACUGAAACAUCUUAGUACCCGGAGGAAGAGAAAGAAAAUUCGAUUCCCUUAGUAGCGGCGAGCGAAACGGGAAGAGCCCAAACCAACAAGCUUGCUUGUUGGGGUUGUAGGACACUCUAUACGGAGUUACAAAGGACGACAUUAGACG
rnacentral:rRNA from 1 species